CUUCUGUGUGGCUCAAAGCUUCAAAAUAGGUACACAGACUCAGAGUCCCACAGUCACGGAGACCUACCAUCUACCUUACCGACGGCGAAUGGCGGCCGCCAGAGUGAUGUCAGCAACUGCUACAACCAACGCGACGUCGUGUCUGCUCCUCAAAAGAACAUUCUCUUUAAACCAAAAGCCUCACUUCAGCGGAUUCUGCUUCAAUGGGAAAAGACAAGUGUCCUUGUCCUCUUCCAAGAGAU
rnacentral:misc_RNA from 1 species